rnacentral:misc_RNA from 1 species
GUUCCUCCUCUCCUUUUUUCCCUCCCCUUCCUCCUUUUUCGGAAGGCAUGUCUGUUUGAGGGCACCAUUUAACAAAUAAUGUGCAUUUCGUGUGCACACGUUGAUGAGCUAUCCAAAAUUAUGUAUUAUUAUUUUUGGUGGCGCAUAAUAAACAGCGCGAUGCUUUUUUUCAGUUGGAGUGUAGUAAAAUUUUUUCUUGCUUGGGUUGUGAAAAGCGUGAUCGGGCAAUGGGGUGGGAGAUUUGACUAACCCUGUUCCAACG